rnacentral:rRNA from 1 species
UACGUAGGAUGCAAGCGUUGUCCGGAAUUAUUGGGCGUAAAGAGCGAGCAGGCGGUUUGGAAAGUUGGACGUGAAAUUUUAGGGCUUAACCCUAAAGGGUCGUCCAAAACUCCCAGACUAGAGUGCAGGAGAGGAGAGCGGAAUUCCCGGUGUAGUGGUGAAAUGCGUAGAUAUCGGGAGGAACACCAGAGGCGAAGGCGGCUUUCUGGCCUGUAACUGACGCUGAGGCGCGAAGGCUGGGGUAGCGAACAGG